rnacentral:rRNA from 1 species
AUGGCGCCUAAGUGGGUCGACGAAAUCCCUGGCCUGCCCGUCCGUGUGGUGAGCCGCCGCCUCGUCAAGGCUUCUGAUCCCUCCGUUGAGCCGCAUGUGACUGCCUUCUCCAAUCUCGACCUUGUCUCCGACGAACAAUUGUCAAUGACAUGCGUCUAUCCCAGACCUUCUUCCGGCGACUUCAACGCCGUCGUCGAGGCCUUCGAGGCUCGGUUGCCGUCAUUCCUCAACCUCUUCUUCCAUCUGGCCGGCCGGAUCGUGCGCAAUCCAAGCUCUGGCCUACCCGAGCUCCUCUGCUACAACCAAGGCGCCGAGCUUGUGGUCGGAUACGCCGUCGUGGAACUGGAGUCGCUCAACUGGGCCUCGACCGACCAGUCACUGAUGAAGAUCCCUCUGCCAUAUGCCAAGGAGGCCCCGCUGUCGGUGCAACUCCUGUCCUUCACCUGCGGCGGCUUCGCCGUGGUGUGGGGAACACACCACCUGAUCGGCGACGGCUACUAUGGGGCGAUGUUGGUAAGGAUGGGAUCCGAGGUCGUGCGGUCGGGCACCGUCUCGGAUCCGGAGAGGCCCCGACACCGAUCCGUGCUCUUUCGCCCACGUAACCCGCCGUCGUACAGCGCAGCGGUCGCCGAGAUGUUCACGCGGUGGGACCACCGGCACGAGCUGCGCGAGACGGCGAGCACCGACGGCCAGCGAGCCACGCGCGUCCAGGCGAUGUCGGCGUACCUAUGGAAGGCCCUCGCGGGAAUCCUGACGGAGGCCGAUAAGCGCUGCCGCAUGCUGUGGUGGGUGGAUGGGAGGCAGCGGGUCUCGUCGCCUGAGCUCCGCUCUGCGCUGCGCAGCUACGCUGGCAACGUGAUGUCAUACGCUCUGGCGGACUCGGACGCGGACACGGUCCUAAGCGAGCCACUGGCGAACGUGGCGGCGAUGGUGCGGGAGGCAAUCACGAGGAGGAACUACGACGAGAUGUACCAGGAGCUCGUGGACUGGGUGGACGUGCAGAAGAAGCCGACGAGAUUGAUCGAGACGCCGACCGUCGGGCUCGGCAGCCCCACAGUUGCGCAAACGAUGAUGUCCUCGUUCCCAAUCGACGCCAACUUCGGCUUCGGCCAGGCCGCGCUGGUCAUGCCGGUGGAGUUAAGCUUCGGGAGGCUCUGCGCGUCCGUGUUGUCCAUAUGCGCGCGGCCAGGAGACGCGGGCUCGUGGAUCGUCAAUGCGUACAUAUGGCCGAGCCUCGCGGCGGCGCUCGAGUCCGACGAGCAGCGCGUGUUCAAGCCCAUCACGGCGGAGUACCUUGGUCUCACUCUCAGCGGUGGCAAUCAUGAGCCAGGGGAGGGUGAGGCCAGACCUCGGCUCUGA